rnacentral:rRNA from 1 species
AGGACGCUUCCUUCGGGAAGCGAGCGUACACAGGUGCUGCAUGGCUGUCGUCAGCUCGUGUCGUGAGAUGUUGGGUUAAGUCCCAUAACGAGCGCAACCCCUACCUUUAGUUGCCAUCAGGUUAAGCUGGGGACUCUAAAGGAACUGCCUACGCAAGUAGUGAGGAAGGCGGGGAUGACGUCAAAUCAGCACGGCCCUUACGUCCAGGGCUACACACGUGCUACAAUGGCCGAUACAGAGGGCAGCUACCUGGUGACAGGAUGCAAAUCUCCAAAGUCGGUCUCAGUUCGGAUCGGAGUCUGCAACCCGACUCCGUGAAGUUGGAUUCGCUAGUAAUCGCGCAUCAGCCAUGGCGCGGUGAAUACGUUCCCGGGCCUU